CAGAGCUCCCCAGGCAGGGCACAGGGGAGGUUUACCACAGAACCAGGGUCUGCUGAAGACCCCACCUCUGAAGAGCUCACGUGCCCAUGUGGAUCCCCAAACACACAGGAGUGGCACCACGGGGGCUGGCAGAGAGCUCACCCCUCUGUGCACCCCAGCCCCGGCUCCUGCAGGACCCCAGGGUCCCCACGCAGGGGCUGUGCCAGGGCUGCUGCUGGCACAGCGGGCACCAGGAGCGGCUCUGUGCCACCCAGCUGUGCCACCCAGCUGUGCAGGGCCACAGCUCACCUGCAGCAGGUCCGGCCCCACCCAGCUCCCACCUCCGAGUUAUCCCACACAGGUGAGUUACUCCAACACCCACGAAACAGGGCAGGCCUGGAGCAGAAACCAGAGGUGCUGAGCAGAAGGAGCCCCCCGCAGCUGUGACUCCCUGGACACUCACCUCGGCGAGGAAACAUUCCAGUUCUCUGGCAAACCACGAGGAGAGAGGACAACAGGGCAGACUGGGCACAGACACCUGCCAGCCUGGGCUGCCUGAGGUUGCCAGGGAGUAGCAGAAGCAUCACUUGGU